rnacentral:tRNA from 1 species
AAGGACUUAAGUUAAUUAAACUAAUAGCCUUCAAAGUUAUAAAUAAAAAAUUUUUUAGGCCUUA